CACCUACACACACACACACACACAUCACACAUUCACUCUUGUCUAGUCCUUUUUUUUUCUUCACAGGACAAUGCCACGGAAGGGGAAGAGGUCCCAGGCUCAAAAGGUGCGCUGGAGACGGCUGGACCUGGCAGAUCCUGGACCACCAGAGGUCGCAGCCAGUGAGUCUCCUGCUGCACAGACGGCCCUGACACCUCCACCACCAACACAGUGUGAGACAAUGGAUGCUGCACCCUCCUGCUCCCGUUCUCCAACUGCAGAUAAAUCAACUGAGGUUACAAGGACGAUGGCAUGUGCCUCAGAGGCUGCCACACC
rnacentral:lncRNA from 1 species